AUUGAACGCUGGCGGCAGGCCUAACACAUGCAAGUCGAGCGAGUGGCGGAAGGCUGAGUAAUGUAUGGGGACUGCCCGUUAGUGGCGGAUAACUACUGGAAACGGUAGCUAAUACCGCAUACUAUCGGAUAACCCAUGUGGGAUUAGCUAGUAGGCAGGGUAAUGGCUAACCUAGGCGACGAUACAUAGCUGGUCUGAGAGGAUGAUCAGCCACACUGGGACUGAGACACGGCCCAGACUCCUACGGAGGCAGCAGUGGGGAAUAUUGCACAAUGGGCGCAAGCCUGAUGGAGCCAUGCCGCGUGUAUGAAGAAGGCCUUAGGGUUGUAAAGUACUUUCAGUCGGGAGGCGUGACCGACAGAAGAAGCACCGGCUAACUCCGUGCCAGCCGCCGCGGUAAUUC
rnacentral:rRNA from 1 species